CACGUAGUUAGCCGGGGCUUUCUUCUCCUAUACCGUCACACAAAGCGCAGUUACUCGCCUUGCUAUUCGUCUAGGGCAACAGAGCUUUACGAUCCGAAAACCUUCAUCACUCACGCGGCGUUGCUCUGUCAGACUUGCGUCCAUUGCGGAAGAUUCCCUACUGCUGCCUCCCGUAGGAGUCUGGGCCGUGUCUCAGUCCCAGUGUGGCCGUUCACCCUCUCAGGUCGGCUACGCAUCGUCGCCUUGGUAGGCCAUUACCCUACCAACUAGCUAAUGCGCCGCAGGCCCAUCUAUAAGCCACAGAUUGCUCCGUGUUUCAUAGUUCUCUCAUGCGAGAAAACCAAUUAUCCGGUCUUAGCUAUCGUUUCCGAUAGUUAUCCCGAUCUUAUAGGCAGGUUACCUACGUGUUACUCACCCGUCCGCCGCUAACUUGUCCCCGAAGGAACAAAUCCGCUCGACUUGCAUGUAUUAGGCACGCCGCCAGCGUCUCUCGAGCAC
rnacentral:rRNA from 1 species